GAUGAACGCUGGCGGCGUGCCUAAUACAUGCAAGUCGAGCGAACAGACGAGGAGCUUGCUCCUCUGACGUUAGCGGCGGACGGGUGAGUAACACGUGGAUAACCUACCUAUAAGACUGGGAUGACUUCGGGAAACCGGAGCUAAUACCGGAUAAUAUAUUGAACCGCAUGGUUCAAUAGUGAAAGACGGUUUUGCUGUCACUUAUAGAUGGAUCCGCGCCGCAUUAGCUAGUUGGUAAGGUAACGGCUUACCAAGGCAACGAUGCGUAGCCGACCUGAGAGGGUGAUCGGCCACACUGGAACUGAGACACGGUCCAGACUCCUACGGGAGGCAGCAGUAGGGAAUCUUCCGCAAUGGGCGAAAGCCUGACGGAGCAACGCCGCGUGAGUGAUGAAGGUCUUCGGAUCGUAAAACUCUGUUAUUAGGGAAGAACAAAUGUGUAAGUAACUAUGCACGUCUUGACGGUACCUAAUCAGAAGGCCACGGCUAACUACGUG
rnacentral:rRNA from 1 species